rnacentral:RNase_P_RNA from 1 species
GGAGGUGGACAGAGGAUCGCCGGCGGGCCAUUCCGGCCCACGGGAGGAAAGUCCGGGCUCCGCAGGGCGGGGAGGUCGGUAACGCCGACCCGGGGCAACCCGAGGGAAAGCGUCACAGAAAACACACCGCCGAUGGCCCGCGAUCCCGGAGACCCUGAGAGGGGGCCUCCGGGGGAGGCACAGGCAAGGGUGAAAACGUGGGGUAAGAGCCCACGCGCGACUGCCGGGUGACCGGCGGCGAGGCAAGCCCCUCCCGGAGCAAACUCGAAUAGGAGGGCUGUUGAGGGUGGCCCGCCCGAAGCGCCAGGUCCGCAAGGAGGUGGCGCCAGCUCUCGGGUUGAGCGCUCGAGCGCCGCGGCAACGCGGCGCCUAGAUGAAUGAUCCUCGCCGCCGCCCGGGCAACCGGGCGACGGAACAGAACCCGGCUUAUCGUCCAUUUCGGGGC